CCUACGGGAGGCAGCAGUGAGGAAUAUUGGUCAAUGGACGAGAGUCUGAACCAGCCAAGUAGCGUGAAGGAUGACUGCCCUAUGGGUUGUAAACUUCUUUUAUAUGGGAAUAAAAUGUUCCACGUGUGGGAUUUUGUAUGUACCAUAUGAAUAAGGAUCGGCUAACUCCGUGCCAGCAGCCGCGGUAAUACGGAGGAUCCGAGCGUUAUCCGGAUUUAUUGGGUUUAAAGGGAGCGUAGGUGGAUUGUUAAGUCAGUUGUGAAAGUUUGCGGCGCAACCGUAAAAUUGCAGUUGAAACUGGCAGUCUUGAGUACAGUAGAGGUGGGCGGAAUUCGUGGUGUAGCGGUGAAAUGCUUAGAUAUCACGAAGAACUCCGAUUGCGAAGGCAGUUCACUGGACUGCAACUGACACUGAGGCUCGAAAGCGUGGGUAUCAAACAGGAUUAGAUACCCCGGUAGUC
rnacentral:rRNA from 1 species